UUAGCUGGAACUAUACAGAGAGGAUUAGCAUGGCCCCUGUACAAGAAUGACAUGCAAAUUUGUGAAGUGUUCCAUAAAAAA
rnacentral:snRNA from 1 species